rnacentral:rRNA from 1 species
UACGGAGGGUGCAAGCGUUGUCCGGAAUUAUUGGGCGUAAAGCGCGCGCAGGCGGUCCUUUAAGUCUGAUGUGAAAGCCCACGGCUCAACCGUGGAGGGUCAUUGGAAACUGGGAGACUUGAGUGCAGAAGAAGGAAAGUGGAAUUCCAUGUGUAGCGGUGAAAUGCGUAGAGAUAUGGAAGGAACACCAGUGGCGAAGGCGACUUUCUGGUCUGUAACUGACACUGAGGCGCGAAAGCGUGGGGAGCAACAGG